UCUCACAUAGACAGUCUUCAUUCAGUAUGGUGUUCACCCCGUCCUGCAACAGGGUGGCACCACUUGUCUACCAAGCCGGAGGCGACCCUAGGUUGGUGGCUCCUAUGCCGCUCCUACCUCAGCUACGAGGCAGACCCUUUCAUGUCUCCUAUUUCUGAGGUGCCGCAGAAGCAUCAACUCCCCGACACUCCUGCCAGUCAUAGCGAGACUUCCUUUCCCCUACUUCUGAGGUGCCGCAGAGGUAUCUGCCCCCCGACACUCCUGCCAGGCCUAGCAAGACUUCACUCAAUCCGUCCCUGGCAUCCGGAUCACACUACUGCCUAAGCAGCCACUCUGACCAUACGUACCAUGCGAGUCUGACUUGUGUGCUCGCUCAUACAUUCAGUCCCAAUCGCUUGCACCACUUGUGCACCACACUCUUGGCAUUCAUUCUCUCACUCAGUGGGGGUUGUAAUACCCCGAUCUCCCAUUUAUAUCCACUACUAGUCGACCCGGCAGACGUUGUCCUGCAUAGUAGGCGAAAAAGCGCGUUGUGAACUGCCCAUGCGAAAUUUCCAUACAAAUCUUUAUUUUAAUUUUUCACGAUUUACUCAACCCUACUCAUGAUUUUCGCCUAAGGAAAUAUCAUAUAAACCCGUCGGAAACGAUAACGAACAUUUUUGCUGAAGAAAUGAAGAAAAUCCAUCGAGCCGUUUUCGAGUUAUGCGGAUACGAACACAGACCAUUUCAUUUUUAUUAUAUAGAUGUGCACCUCCUGUGCAUCGUUUGGGCGUGGAACACCCGGCACGUCACGCGUGCCUUACACUCACCUACCCGGGCUUUGAUGCUGCCAAUAGGUCUUGGACAGAUGCUUUGGUGCAGGCAGCGCCCACCUAUUGAUAUUUCGAAGCCCAGAUAGUCCUCAGUCAGUGUGGUGGUCUCCCCAUCCUGCAACGAGGUGGCACCACUUACCUUACAUGUCUCCAAUUUUUGAGGUGCCGCAGAAGCAUCAACCCCCGACACUCCUGCCAGUCGUAGCGAGACUUUCGUGUCCCCUACUUCUGAGGUGCCGCAGAGGUAUCUGCCCCCCGACACUCCUGCCAGGCCUAACCAGACUUCAGUCAUUCUAACACUACCGACCAUGCGUACCAUGCGAGUCUUACUUGUGUGCUCACCCAUACACUCAGUCCUUCACUCUGUGGGGGUAUUACGAGUAAUACCCCCAACUCCCAUUCGUUUGCACCACAUGUGCACAACUUGGGGGUGUGUGGGUACCACCCACUGCCACCCGCUUGCCGCCGAAGCAGCCCUCAUUCUGUGGAACCUCCAUAGGCUCCGUUAACGACCUGGCUAAUUGUUUCACCCCCCAGGUCAUUCAUCCCCUCGGAACGGGUCGCCUGACACCUUGGGAUUCGGGGUUAGGGACGCCAUAUUGUCAGCUUCAGUGUUGUACUGAGCCUGACGAUAUGGCCGGAUUUACACCGUUACGCACUACUUCCAAGUAUCCAUAUCCCAACGUAACGGGGAGCUUCCUCAGCAUGUAGUAUGAAGCAAAUGUAAAUAAACAAUCCCACAAAAUUUUUGUUGGUCAACAGUAGUAAAGAUUAACUAACAUCCUACAAGAUUCCAAUUCGAACAAUGUUACACUUGUCAAGCGGGGUGAUAUAUGUAUGCAUUAUUUACAUUUUAUUAUGCUAUAAGCCAUUUUACGAGACAGAUUCGAACAGCUGAUCGAAAUUUUGAGUGGACGGCUCGGUCUUUGUUUUGGUAAAUUUGCAUGCAAACCAUCAUCAAUUCGCCAUCAUCAUCAUCAUUUCAUUCCAUUUUCGCAAAUGUUCCUUGUAAAAUGUAAAUAUUAGUGUUAGAUCUCCUGUCACUUGAGCUUUUUAUAAAAUAGCUUAUAUGCAUUAUUUCCAGUGAAAACUAGAUGUACAAACACUGAUGUCAAGAUGCUCUAUAUCAAGUGAUAUAGCUCAUAAUCUGAACGUACUAUUAAGGGGGUUAUCAUCGACCAAUACAUAGACGGAAUGGUGCCCAGUUUUCCGAGCACCACUCAGUACCCCUGGGGAGUGACCGAUUACAAUUAUUAUAAUAACCUGACCGUUGAGAAGCCCCUCAAUUCGAAUUGCGUCAGUUUGACAACAAUAGACCAAUGCAAACUCUAACUUAACCUCACUUAUUUUGACAGUUUACAGAGCUUGUUUACAAGGUGUUAGAAGAAAAAUCGAUGAAGGGAAAAUUAAAAUUCAUAUUUUUAGUUUAAAAUUGCUGUGAUCCGAAUAUUUUAGUGUUAUUCUUUGCAUUCAGCAUGAAAUCAAUCGCAAUGGACAUCUACAUGCGAAUAAAAUGACGAAACAAUUUUAUCAGAAGCUGCGCCGGAGGCUAAGUCCCGGAGAAAAAGCUCUGUGAACUGUCAACCUACGUCAUCAUGCACUGGUUUAUUGUCAGUUAUGCUCAUUUAUUUAUUUUCUUACCUUUGUUUUGUUAAUCGCGCUCAAAAUUUUUGUGCGAAAGCGUUGUUAGUUAAAGAUACAUAUAUAAAUAGGUUUCUUUUGGUUGGAUAGGUUUCCAUGAAUGGAAACAUUGAUUCGGAUUUGAUAUGCCAGCGGUUAAUGGCAAUGCAGAUUCCACAAGAUAAUUACUUUACGAUGAGAAUUUCAUACAAGUUUACCGUGCUGCCACUGGCGCUGCAGAUUACUCAGAUUGCGGAAAACCUGAUGAACCGAACUUUACCCGGGUGUUGGACCGAGAAAAACGAAUUCUUCCUGCAUGCAUUUACCGAAAAGGACUACAUCGCGCCGGAUAAGGCUCUCAGAGCUGGAACAGAUUUUAAUCAAGAGAAACCGGAAGCGGCUGCUGAUCGCAGCAAACCUGAAAAUAAGGCGGCAUACUCUGGCGGCCUUGUGUUGAAAACGAUAAAAGGAUUGUACGGCAAAUUUAUCCUGCAAAUGGAUCACAGCUCCCUUUACCCCAUAUCAUCCGGUCCGGGAGUACCACAUUUCAUUCACUACGGUGCUAUCGCCGACGACCGAUGCAGUAGAUGGUGAGAACGCCACCAAUCAGAUCCUCCAAACAAGCCCUGGAAUAUUGCCCUGUCAAAUUCUCAAACUCGACGAGAGCAGAAAGUCAGCGAAACAACUAAUGAAAGCACCUGGUCUGUCACCGGAACUUAACAUGCAGUGCAACAUUUACCAGAUGGCGCUCAAGCUUCCGGCUUCCGGUUGGCGCUACACUAGAUCCUGAUUCUAUGCUCAGCACAUGGCCGCUCUGACCACACUAAAAAGUCGGGAAAUUCUUAUGGAUACCAAAAGCAGGAACUAAUUACUAAUUAUUAGUUCCUGCCAAAAGCAUCGUGGAAAAACUGAAUUACCAGCUUAUCUAUGGCAACACGAUCAACACCAACAGCAUCGAUUGUGACGAGCUGUUCAAGAUCGAUGCUAACAACAAGCACAUCGUCAAUAAAACAUUCAAAUGCUUGGAUCUGAACGUACUACAAGUAGAAAAAGAAGUACCUACGCGGCUGUUUCGAUAGCCAAGAUCUGGGAAAAAUUCGAAUGCACGCAUGCAUGACUUGCAUAACUGCAGUUAUAGAACGUCUAUGUAGUGGUAGAGACUUGGAAAAAUCAUUAUCAGCAGAUUUGUGUUUUUAUAACAGCGAUCGUGUAAAGACUUUCUAGGUUAGGUUUUAUAAUCAAUGGCUAAGAAGGGCCCCUAGUAGAAUCCAUGUUUGAGACGAAUAUUUGCUCGACUGGGAAUACUGUCGUCCGGUCAAAUUACUGCUACAUAUCGCCAUCGACGAACUGGACUUACUGUUAAUGAGCAAGCGCAACAUCUACACUGCUCGCCUCACUAUUCCAACCAGUUCUCAGCAUUGGGGCCCUUUUCAAUGCACUGGACAAUAUAUGCGGAUUUGAGACGCGGGCACUUGGAGACCGCUGUUCCAUUUUGGCUGUCGUACAACUGACACAAAUUCUUAUUUGAGCUACAACACUAUUUUUACCAAUAACAUAAUAUAUACAUAUUAUAAAUAAA